GCUACGGGAGGCUGCAGUGAGGAAUAUUGGUCAAUGGACGAGAGUCUGAACCAGCCAAGUAGCGUGAAGGAUGACUGCCCUAUGGGUUGUAAACUUCUUUUAUAUGGGAAUAAAAUGUUCCACGUGUGGGAUUUUGUAUGUACCAUAUGAAUAAGGAUCGGCUAACCCCGUGCCAGCAGCCGCGGUAAUACGGAGGAUCCGAGCGUUAUCCGGAUUUAUUGGGUUUAAAGGGAGCGUAGGUGGAUUGUUAAGUCAGUUGUGAAAGUUUGCGGCUCAACCGUAAAAUUGCAGUCGAAACUGGCAGUCUUGAGUACAGUAGAGGUGGGCGGAAUUCGUGGUGUAGCGGUGAAAUGCUUAGAGAUCACGUAGAACUCCGAUUGCGAAGGCAGUUCACUGGACUGCAACUGACACUGAGGCUCGAAAGUGUGGGUAUCAAACAGGAUUAGAUACCCUUGUAGUC
rnacentral:rRNA from 1 species